AUGAUGCUAGGGAUGAACUAGUGAUUGUCUAUGAAACAAUUAAGAAGUUGUGUGUUGGAUCUCAUGUUUCUAAGUAAUACAUUUUUAUACAUUUAUAUUCCGCUGUGCUAUCUGUUCAAUUGUUUUAGAACCUCAGAUUCGAACAUGACUUAGUAAAUAAAAGACUUAAAAUGAAUCAAACCAGCAAAGAAAUUGAUUAAGUAGCAAACAGGUCCAGUUUCGUCGAGAGGCCAGAUUCGGGCGUUACAGUGUCCGUAUGUGUCCGUCAGCACACACAGGACGUCCGUGGCUGUCCAU
rnacentral:lncRNA from 1 species